AUUGAACGCUGGCGGCAGGCCUAACACAUGCAAGUCGAGCGGAUGAAGGGAGCUUGCUCCUGGAUUCAGCGGCGGACGGGUGAGUAAUGCCUAGGAAUCUGCCUGGUAGUGGGGGAUAACGUCCGGAAACGGGCGCUAAUACCGCAUACGUCCUGAGGGAGAAAGUGGGGGAUCUUCGGACCUCACGCUAUCAGAUGAGCCUAGGUCGGAUUAGCUAGUUGGUGGGGUAAAGGCCUACCAAGGCGACGAUCCGUAACUGGUCUGAGAGGAUGAUCAGUCACACUGGAACUGAGACACGGUCCAGACUCCUACGGGAGGCAGCAGUAGGGAAUAUUGGGCAAUGGGCGAAAGCCUGAUCCAGCAAUGCCGCGUGAGUGAAGAAGGUCUUCGGAUUGUAAAGCACUGUAAGUUGGGAGGAAGGACAGUAAGAUAAAACAUGGCUGUUUUGACGGUACCAACAGAGUAAGCAACGGCUAACUUCGUG
rnacentral:rRNA from 1 species